GUACUUCCAAAGUACAUACACUAAAAUUGGAACGAUGCAGAGAAGAGUUGCAUGGCCCUUGCGCAAGGAUGACACGAAAAAUCGUGAAACGUUCUGAGCGUUC